AUUGAACGCUGGCGGCAGGCCUAACACAUGCAAGUCGAACGAGUGGCGGACGGGUGAGUAAUGUCUGGGAAACUGCCUGAUGGAGGGGGAAAAAUACUGGAAACGGGAGAUAAUACCGCAUACCAUCGGAUGUGCCCAUAUGUGAUUAGCUAGUAGGUGGGGUAAAGGCUCACCUAGGCGACGAUCCCUAGCUGGCCUGAGAGGAUGACCAGCCACACUGGAACUGAGACACGGCCCAGACUCCUACGGGAGGCAGCAGGGGGGAAUAUUGCACAAUGGGCGCAAGCCGGAUGCAGCCAUGCCGCGUGUGUGAAGAAGGCCUUAGGGUUGUAAAGCACUUUCAGCGAGGAGGCGUUACUCGCAGAAGAAGCACCGGCUAACGCCGUGCCAGCAGCCGCGGUAAUAC
rnacentral:rRNA from 1 species